rnacentral:rRNA from 1 species
UCCACGCCGUCGCGUGAGGACGACGUCAAGUCAUCAUGGCCCUUAUGGCUAGGGCUACACACGUGCUACAAUGGGGAGUACAGAGUGUUGCGAUACCGCGAGGUGGAGCUAAUCACUUAAAGCGUCUCUCAGUUCGGAUUGAAGUCUGCAACUCGACUUCAUGAAGCUGGAAUCACUAGUAAUCGUAGAUCAGCAAUGCUACGGUGAAUACGUUCCCGGGUCUUGUACUCACCGCCCGUCACACCAUGGGAGUUGAUUUCACCCGAAAUCGGGAAGCCAACCUUCGGGGGCUACCGCUUACGGUGGAAUUAGCGACUGGGG